GAUGAACGCUAGCGACAGGCCUAACACAUGCAAGUCGAGGGGCAGCACAUGAGUAGCAAUACGAUGGUGGCGACCGGCGCACGGGUGAGUAACACGUAUGCAACCUGCCUGUAAGAGGGGAAUAACCCGGAGAAAUUCGGACUAAUACCGCAUAAUACCACGAGACUGCAUGGUUUUGUGGUUAAACAUUUAUGGCUUACAGAUGGGCAUGCGUAUGAUUAGCUAGUUGGUAGGGUAAUAGCCUACCAAGGCGACGAUCAUUAGGGGUUCUGAGAGGAAGGUCCCCCACAUUGGAACUGAGAUACGGUCCAAACUCCUACGGGAGGCAGCAGUGAGGAAUAUUGGUCAAUGGACAGAAGUCUGAACCAGCCAAGUCGCGUGAAGGAAGAAGGUCUUACGGAUUGUAAACUUCUUUAGCAGGGGAAUAAAAGACGAUACGAGUUAUCGUGUUGAAAGUACUUUGCGAAAAAGGAUCGGCUAACUCCGUGCCAGCAGCCGCGGU
rnacentral:rRNA from 1 species